UACGUAGGGCGCAAGCGUUAUCCGGAAUUAUUGGGCGUAAAGAGCUCGUAGGCGGUUUGUCGCGUCUGCUGUGAAAGACCGGGGCUCAACUCCGGUUCUGCAGUGGGUACGGGCAGACUAGAGUGAUGUAGGGGAGACUGGAAUUCCUGGUGUAGCGGUGAAAUGCGCAGAUAUCAGGAGGAACACCGAUGGCGAAGGCAGGUCUCUGGGCAUUAACUGACGCUGAGGAGCGAAAGUGUGGGGAGCGAACAGG
rnacentral:rRNA from 1 species